UGCUCCAGUGGCGCAAUCGGUCAGCGCGCGGUACUUAUAAUGCCGAGGUUGUGAGUUCAAGCCUCACCUGGACAA